rnacentral:sRNA from 1 species
UGUAGUCAAGCAGAGCAGAGCAAAAGAAAAGAAAAACAAACAAUAAAUUCCAUGUGACGUAUAAAAAGCAUAAAGCAACCUGCUAAUGCGCAGCAGAUGCGUCACAAUUAGCCACACAGCAUCAACAAAUAUAGCAAACAGGUCAUGCCAGCUUCCACUUCUAGGCUGAUCUUUAGCAGCGGAGGCAAAUAUUGCAUCAGUAUUCAUCAUGAGUCAUCUGAGAUUAUAUCGCUUCUUCAGCUAAAAGUGUCCCACGCCAAACAGCCUCGGUUGGAUAUUAUUUAGCAGAGAUAACAUAUUAGCUUUACAUGUCUAUAUGUAUAUUUAAUGUUAAAUAA